GAUGAACGCUGGCGGCGUGCCUAAUACAUGCAAGUCGAGCGAACAGACGAGGAGCUUGCUCCUCUGACGUUAGCGGCGGAAGGGUGAGUAACACGUGGAUAACCUACCUAUAAGACUGGGAUAACUUCGGGAAACCGGAGCUAAUACCGGAUAAUAUAUUGAACCGCAUGGUUCAAUAGUGAAAGACGGUUUUGCUGUCACUUAUAGAUGGAUCCGCGCCGCAUUAGCUAGUUGGUAAGGUAACGGCUUACCAAGGCAACGAUGCGUAGCCGACCUGAUAGGCUGAUCUGCCACACUGGAACUUAUACACGGUCCAGACUCCUACGGUAGGCAGCAGUAGGGAAUCUUCCGCAAUAGGCGAAAGCCUGACGGAGCUACGCCGCGUGAGUGAUGAAGGUCUUCGGAUCGUAAAACACUGUUAUUAGGGAAGAACAAAUGUGUAUGUAACGAUGCACGUCUUGACGGUACCUAAUCAGAAAGCCACGGCUAACUACGUG
rnacentral:rRNA from 1 species